AUGAGGCUGGUCGGCUUGACGGGUGGAAUUGCUUCGGGGAAGAGCACCGUCUCUGGCCUCUUCAAAUCCGCCGGCGUCCCUGUGGUCGAUGCCGACAUUGUGGCUCGGAAUGUAGUGCAGAAAGGUACUGGAGGUUGGAAGAAGAUUGUAAAAACUUUCGGAAAUGACAUAUUAUUGGAAAAUGGAGAAAUUGACAGGGCUCUCUUAGGUCAGAUUGUUUUCUCUGACCCGGCAAAAAGGAAACUUCUAAACCGUCUUCUGGCCCCACAUAUUUCAUGUGGUAUAUUUUGGGAGAUUCUAAAACUGUGGGUGAAGGGAUGCACGGUUAUCUCUGUCGACAUCCCGCUGUUGUUUGAGACAAAGAUGGACCGAUGGACGAACCCAGUGGUUGUUGUAUGGGUGGAUCCCAAAACACAGAUUGAGAGGCUCAUGUUAAGAAAUGGGUGCAGCGAGGAACAAGCUCAGAACAGGAUCAGCGCGCAGCUUGCACUUGACUGGAAGAAGUCCGAAGCAGAUAUAGUGAUCAACAAUUCUGGCUCACUGGAGGACACGAAAGAACAGUUCCGAGAAGUGUUGGAGCAAGUCUCUGCUCCCUUGACAUGGAAGGAGCGCAUGAGAUCCAGGGAUGGCUUUCUGUCUAUCGUCAUGUGCACGGCAGCGGGGGUUUUACUUGCUCAGAAGAAUCUGUUAUGA
rnacentral:rRNA from 1 species